rfam:Exophiala dermatitidis NIH/TT8656 unplaced genomic scaffold supercont1.7, whole genome shotgun sequence.
GCCGGGUUAGCUCAAUCGGUAGAGCGGUAAGUCUUCGAUUCCUCAACCACAACUACCACUCAACAAUCAUACUAAUAACCUCUCCAGUGUGGCUCUUAUACCUCGAACAUCAAGGUUACCACAAGGCUGCGGGUUCGACCCCCGCAUUCGGCU